rnacentral:rRNA from 1 species
CCUACGGGUGGCAGCAGUGAGGAAUAUUGGUCAAUGGGCGAGAGCCUGAACCAGCCAAGUCGCGUGAAGGAUGAAGGAUCUAUGCAUUGUAAACUUCUUUUAUAUGGGAAUAAAGUGAGGAACGUGUUCCUUUUUGUAUGUACCAUAUGAAUAAGCAUCGGCUAACUCCGUGCCAGCAGCCGCGGUAAUACGGAGGAUGCGAGCGUUAUCCGGAUUUAUUGGGUUUAAAGGGUGCGUAGGUGGUUUAUUAAGUCAGCGGUGAAAGUUUGUGGCUCAACCCUGAAAUUGCCGUUGAAACUGGUUGACUUGAGUUGAUGUGAGGUAGGCGGAAUGCGUGGUGUAGCGGUGAAAUGCAUAGAUAUCACGCAGAACUCCGAUUGCGAAGGCAGCUUACUAACCUAUAACUGACGCUGAAGCACGAAAGCGUGGGGAUCGAACAGGAUUAGAUACCCGGGUAGUC